GAGACAGUUUCUUAGUGAGCACAUGAAAGUGUACCCAUAUAAUGCACAUGGCACCAUCAUAGUAUCCUAAUUCCCCUGCCAUGAAUACACUCAGGACUCUUCUCAAAUCUCCCACCACCCCCAAUCCCUGAUGCUCAUCAAGAGUGAAGGUUGAUCAGAGAUAUAAACCUAGUUGGAUUCAGAAGUACCUAGAUUACUCAAGCACACCUCUGGGUGUGACUGUGAGAGUGUUUCCAGACCAGCUUCACUAGAGUGAGAGCAGACUUCCCUGAAUGCAGGCAGUACCCUCUAUGGGCCAGGAGCCAAAAUGGACUGCUAGGAGCGCAGGAAAAAGCCUGGCAGCAGGAUAUUCUGUCUGUUUUCUGGCUAUCACUGCAAGGUAUGGACUGCUCUGCUCAUUGCACACUCCAUGCCGUGAUGAACGGAAACUCCUGAACCCAGGAUUGACCAUGUAAACCAAAGGCUCUCAAAAUGUGAACCCGUUAAAAAAAUAAAUAAAUGACCCAUUCCCCUGGGCUCCAUAUUCUGGGCCUACAACUCCAGUUGCUUUACAGAAGGCCAGGCUAGUCCUAAGGACUCCGGACAACAUACCACCCACCAAAUUGCACUCCUUAAAGCCCGCCCAACAGCCCUAGACACACCCUCUCCCCCAGGCUCCAAAUCCUGCCCACAACUUUGGCAGACUAGUGCUUUACCCCAAGGCCAGAAUGGUUCUAAAGACCCAAGGUAAGACUCUGCCCACCACUCACUAACACUCCUAAAAUUCCACCCAACAGCACCCGCUCCCUAGGCUUCAUAUUCCAGUACACAACUCCAGCUGCUUUGUGCUGCUUUCCCAAAGGCCAGGCUGGUCCUAGGGACCCAGGUAACACACCACCCACUGCCAAUUAACACUCCCUAAAUCUGGCCCAACAACCUUCAACUGCAUCCCAUUCCCUGAGCCCCAUAUCCCAACCCAAAACUUCAGCAGAAAACUUCUGUCUUACUGGAGGCCACCCCGUACUAGGAAUCCCAGAGACCAAGUAGAUACCCAGGAUCCCAGAGGCCACACAGGAACUGCAGAGGCAAAGUUGGCAUUCAAAACCCCGGUGGUGAACACCCUAGUGGACCUGAAGACUCACCAGUCCCAGAACCCCUGACUACUUAGACCAGAGGACAAGAAAGGAAGCAGAAACCAAGAAACAAAACAAUGACAAACUCAGGAAUCAACACUUAGACCUAUAAUCAUCCCAAACCCAGAUGCCUAAGCCUCAGUGUAAGAACAGAAUCAACAGAAAGGCAAUAUGUCACCACUAGAGCCCAGCUAUCUGACGACAAAAGCUGAACAUUCCUACACAGCUAAAGCACAAGAAAAUGUUAGGAAUUUUUCCUAACGCAAGCUCUUUGUCGAUGCAAAAAUCGCAAUCAAGCCAAAUCACAACAAGCCAAAUUAAAAAAUACCCAGGUUUAAUGGGAUUCCAGCCCUCUCAGGUGUCCCAAGGGGGAACCGGUAGGCUGCUAACAUGACCACCAGGGAAGAAGAAAAGGGACCAUGAGGAAACUUUCCAGGGAAGCAGUUUAAAUAGACUCAGGGCAUGGUCAAGAUUUUGGUGGGCUCAUCUUGACCUUCCUCCAGGAGAGGUCAAGACUUGGCGGGCCCAGGGAUGGGGCCUCCAAAGAUGGAGGCCAAAGACGGGCUUACAAUGACCUUAUAAAUAACUUUAUGAAGAUGAUAGAGGUCCUUAAAGAGAAAUGAAAAGAAAAAUCCCUUAAGGAAAUUGAGGGAAAGACAAACAAAACAUUGGAAGAAAUAAAUCUCUUAAAGAAUGCCAAGAAAGUCAAGGAAAAAAUAAAAACAGGUGAAGGAAAAUAUUCAAGACCUAAAAAUGGGGAAAGAAGCAAUAAAGAAAACACAAACAGGAAAUUCUGGAAAUGGAAAAUCUGGGAAAGAGAACAGGAACUACAGAUGCAAGCAUCACCAAUAGAAUACAAGAAACGGAAGAAUCUCAGACAUUGAAGAUACAAUAGAAGAAAUAGAAUCAUUGGCCAAAGAAAAUGUUAAAUCUAAUAUAUUCUUAACAUGAAACAUCCAGGAAAUCUGGGACACUAUGAAAAAUAAUGAAGGAAAUAUACAGCAAACUAACAGUCAACAUCAAAGUAAAUGGAGAGAAGCUCAAAGCAAUUCCACUAAAAUCAGGAACAAGACAAUUCUGUCCACUCUCUCCAUAUCAAUUCAAUAUAGUACUUGGAAUUCUAGCUAAAGAAAUAAGACAACAAAGGGAGACUGAGGGGAUAUAAAAUAGAAAGGAAGAAGCCAAACUUUUGCUAUUUGCAGAUGAUAUAAUAGUAUACAUAAGUGACCCAAAAAAAUUCUACUAGGGACUCCUACAGCUGAUAAACACCUUCAAUGAAUUGGCUGGAUACAAAAUUAACUAAAAAAAAAUCAGCAGCCUCUCUGUAUACAAAUGAUAAAUAGGCUGAAAAAGAAAUUAAGGAAACAGUACCCUUCACAAUAGUCACAAAUAAUAUAAAAUCCUUGGUGUAACUCUAACCAAGCAAAUGAAAGACCUGUAUGACAAUAACUUUAAAAUCCUUGACGAAAGCAACUGAAGAAGAUAUCAGAAGAUGGAAAGAUCUCCCUUGCUCAUGGAUUGGUAGGAUUAAAAUAGCAAAAAUGGUCAUCUUAACAAAAACAAUCUACAGAUUUAAUGCAAUCCCCAUCAAAAUUCCAACACAAUUCUUUACGGACCUUGAAAAUACAAUACUCAACUUCAUAUGAAAAAAAAAACAAUAACUAAAAUAAUCCUGUACAAUAAAAUAACUGUCUGAGGUAUCACCAUCCCUUAUUUUUUUUUAAAUUUCGAGACAGGGUUUCUCUGUAGCAUUGGAGCCUGUCCUGGAACUCCCUUUGUAGACCAGGCUGGCCUCGAACUCACAGAGAUCCGCCUGCCUCUGCCUCCCAAGUGCUGGGAUUAAAGGCGUGCGCCACCACCGCCUGGCUACCAUCCCUUAUUUUAAACUGUACCACAGAGCUAUAGUAAUAAAACCACAUGGUAUUGGCAUAAAAACACAGUUCACCAAUGGAACGGAACCAAAGACCCAGAUGUAAAUUCAUAUACAUAUGGACACCCGAUUUUAGAUAAAGAAGUCAGAAAUAUGCAAUGGAAAAAAGAAAGCUUCUUCAGCUGAUUGAACUGAAUGCCAUCAGUAGAAGGGUACAAAUAGAUCCAUAUGUAUCACCCUGCACAAAACUCAAAACCAAGUAGAUCAAAGACCUCAACAUAAAGCCAGAUACACUAAACCUGAUAGAAGAGAAAGUGAGAAAUAGCCUUGAACACAUUGGCAUAAGAAACUUCCUGAACAGAACACCAACCACACAGGCACUAAGAUCAACAACUAAUAAAUGGGACCUCAUGAAACUGAAAAGCUUCUGUAAGGCAAAGGACACUGUCAAAAGGACAAAAGGGUAGCCUACAGAAUGAGAAAAUAUCUUUUCCAAUCCCACAUCUGACAGAGGGCUGAUUGCCAAAAUGUAUAAAGAACUCAAAAAAAAACUAAACAUCAACAAACCAAAUAAUCCAAUUUAUAAAUGGGGUACAGAUUUAAACAGAGAAUUCUCAACAGAGAAAUAUCAAAUGGCCAAGAAUCACUUAAAGAAAUGUUCAACAUCCUUAACUCUCGGAGAAAUGCAGAUCAAAAUGACUCUGAGAUUCCAUUUUAGACCUGUCAGAAUGGUUAAGACCAAACACAAGUGAUAGCUCAUGCUGGUGAGGAUAUGGAGCAAGGGGAACACUUCUCCACUCCUGAUAGGAGUGCAAACUUGUACAGCCACUUUGGAAGUCAAUAUGGUAGUAUCUCAGAAAAUUGGGAAUCUAUCUACCUCAAAACCCAGCUCUACCACUCGUGGACAUAUACCCAAAGGAUGCUCUACCAUAUGACAAGGACAUUUGCCCAACCAUAUUCUUGGCAGCUUUAUUCAUGAUAGCCAGAAACCAGAAACAACCUAGAUGUCCAUCAACCAAAGAACUGGCAAAGAAAAUGUGGUGUAUUUUCACAAUGCAGUAUUACUCAGCUGUUAAAAACAAUGAAAAUGAAAUUUUCAGACAAAUGGAUGGAGCUAGAAAAGAUCAUUCUGAGUGCGGUAAUUCAGACCCAGAAAGACAAAAAUGGUAUGUACUCAUUCAUAAGUGGAUAUUAGCUGUAAAAUAAAGGAUAACCAUGCUAUAAUCCACAGACUCAAAGAAGCUAAGUACCAAGAAGAGUUCAUGGGGGGAACACAUGAAUCUCACUGUAAAGAGGAAAUAGAAUAUACAUCACAGGUGAAUAGAGGGAGUGGUCUGUGUGGGAAGUGGGCAUGGGAACAGAAGAAGUUGGGUGGGGAAAGAUGGAGAGAGAGAAUACUGGGAAAGACAACUGGUAUUAAGGGGCAUCUCUGGAAUAAGCAAGAAGCCUAGUCCAAUGGAAACUCCCAGAGUCCUAGGAAGGUGACUCUAGCUAAGACUCCUAACAAUAGGGGCAUAAGAAGCCUGAACCUGCCAUCUCCUGUAACCUGGAAAGACUUCCAGUGGAGGGACUGGGACACCAUCCCAAUCACAAAUUCUUCAAUCUACAAUUUUCCCUGCUUACAAGAUGUGCUGGAAUAAGAUAGCACAGACAUUAUAGGAGUAGCCAACCAAUGACUGCUCCAGCUUGAGACCCAUACCAUGAUAGGAAGCCUACCCCUGACACUUCCUGGAGCGUCAGGGCCCAGAGGCUGAGCAACCCAAAGACUAUCCUGCCUGGCCAGUCUGAACAUGACUGUUAAUAAAGAAGAGUCAAUGAAAUGAUUCCUAAUGAUACUCUGCUAUACUCACAGAUUAUUGCUAGCCCAUUGUCAUCAGAGAUGCUUCACCCAGCAACUGAUGGAAAUAGACACAGAGACCCACGGCCACACAUAAGACCUCAAGUCUAAAAUCUUGUGUGGGGUCGCCGGGGAGUCCAGUUUCAGCCACAGUCAGGAUCCUUCUGAACCUUCAACUCCCAGCAGAAGAACUCCGAGCAGCUUUCUUAACUUCGGACGACCUGAACACACUGUCCGUUGUCUGCGUCUCAUUCCACUCCCAGUUACAGUCUGUC